UUUCAGCGUAUUUGGGAAGGUAUACAAGACCAUAGUGGUGGAUCUACCGUUCGUCGCGGCCCGCGCGAACGCGACGGUCAGUCGGCGCUGGGCAGGCGCUGGUAGAGGUGCGGGCGGGACGCGCAGCCCGCGCACACGUGCAGCGAGCUCGACACCACGUGCUCGCACUCCCAGCAGUAGUGCUCCAGGCAUCGCGAGCAGCGGAACAACUGGCACAAAUCAAAACAUAUAUUAGACCCUCAAGCCCAGCAUCCUGAUCUAAUCCACCGUGAGAGACACUCCGACCUCAGCCAGGCGGGCCGCCUCCUGAAAGAUAUGCCGCGCUCACCUGGCGAGGUGCGGCGCGGAGGCGAGCGUGAGACCGCACGUGCGACACUGCGCCGGCAGAGCGCAGUACUUGCUGCGGCACUGCGGACACACGUGGCCUUCGCCCCCCUCACCCUCACCGUCAC